CAUUAACGUAUUUUGUAGUAUUAUCUUAGUUUAGUAACUAAAAUGGUUUGGCAGUGAGUGAUUCUUUUUAGGGGAAGGUGUGGUGUAAAGGAUGUUCCGCCUAUUAAUUUACUUUUAUUAUGUUGGUGUAUAUCUGGUUUAAUAUUAUCGUUGAAUGACAUAAGUUUGUGUAGGUUUUAGUUAAGCUAAGUCUAUGUGCUGCUUAUAAAAGUAUGCAUGCGUUACAUUGAUAAAGUUUUAGUUGUAAGUGCUAUUAUAUUCAGGACUUAAAAGUAAUGUUAAAUUAGUUUGUUAAUGUGAAAUAAGUUUAGCUCAUGUACACACCGCCCGUCACCCUCGAUUUUUAUUGAG
rnacentral:rRNA from 1 species